rnacentral:piRNA from 1 species
UCACGGUGGCCUCUCCAGGAUGAGCUCCUGC